AGUGAACGCUGGCGGUAGGCCUAACCCAUGCAAGUCGAACGGCAGCACCGUAAGAGCUUGCUCUUACGGGUGGCGAGUGGCGGACGGGUGAGGAAUACAUCGGAAUCUACUUUUUCGUGGGGGAUAACGUAGGGAAACUUACGCUAAUACCGCAUACGACCUACGGGUGAAAGCAGGGGAUCUUCGUACCUUGCGGGAUUGAAUGAGCCGAUGUCGGCUUAGCUAGUUGGCGGGGUAAAGGCCCACCAAGGCGACGAUCCGUAGCUGGUCUGAGAGGAUGAUCAGCCACACUGGAACUGAGACACGGUCCAGACUCCUACGGGAGGCAGCAGUGGGGAAUAUUGGACAAUGGGGGCAAGCCUGAUCCAGCCAUACCGCGUGGGUGAAGAAGGCCUUCGGGUUGUAAAGCCCUUUUGUUGGGAAAGAAAAGCAGCAGGUUAAUACCCCGCUGUUCUGACGGUACCCAAAGAAUAAGCACCGGCUAACUUCGUG
rnacentral:rRNA from 1 species